GUCUACAGAUAUACCAUCCUGAAUGCACCUAAUCUUGUCUAAUUUUUGAAGCUAGGCAGGGUCAGGCCUGGUUAGGAUUUGGAGGCAGACCACCUGGGAAUACUGGGUAAUGUAGGCU
ensembl:rRNA 5S_rRNA 5S ribosomal RNA